rnacentral:lncRNA from 1 species
GGCGGGAGAGCAGGGCUGUGGGGUGGCACCUGCCUCACAGGGGUGUCUCUUGGCUUGGGAAUCACUGUCUCCAUUAUUCUUUUUUAUGUGACUCACUUUAUAGCUCCAUUAUUAUUAAUAAUAAAUAUGUCAGGCAUCAGGCACACAAAAAUAUCAAAAAUAAAGAAGUAUAUAAAGAGCUCCUCAAGACACAACCCAAAUGAAAGAUGGGCAAAAGAUAUAAACAAGCUGUUCUUUUUCAAAAAAGAGAAAAGAACAGCAAAUGGACUUAAACACAUAAAAAUAUUCUCAACCUGCCUGUUAGCAGGAGAAGUACAAGAUAAAACCACAACGGGACGUGGCAUCUCAUCCAGCAGCGGUAGGCAGGCCCAGAAGCUGGCAAGCCAGGCAGCGCAGGCUGCUGGCGAGGUAGGUGGAGAACAGGCAUCCUCCUAUGGCACUGACAGAGCAAACCACAAACGUACCCCCCUUCUCAGAAAUCUCCCUUCUCCAAAGCGAUCCCAAAGCUGUCCUCGCAG